GACGAACGCUGGCGGCGUGCUUAACACAUGCAAGUCGAACGAGUGGCGAACGGGUGAGUAACACGGGGGUGAUCUGCCUUGCACUUCGGGAUAAGCUUGGGACACUGGGUCUAAUACCGGAUAGUGCAAGAUGAGCUCGCGGCCUAUCAGCUUGUUGGUGGGGUAAUGGCGGCCAAGGCGCGACGGGUAGCCGGCCUGAGAGGGUGUACGGCCCCAUUGUGACUGAGAUACGGCCCAGACUCAUACGGGAGGCAGCAGUGGGGAAUAUUCCACAAUGGGCGGAGUGAGGAUGCAGCGACGCCGCGUGGGGGAUGAAGGCCUUCGGGUUGUAACCUCCUUUCGACAGGGACGCGGUACCUGUAUAGGAAGCACCGGCUAACUACGUGCCAGCCGCCGCGGUAAUAC
rnacentral:rRNA from 1 species